GGAGUCGGCCAGGCAACCGCCGUUUUGUCAUGCAAAGCGGAGGAAAGUCCGGGCUCCAAAGGGCAAGGCGCCAGGUAACGCCUGGGGGGCGCGAGCCCACGGAAAGUGCAACAGAAAGCAAACCGCCUAAGUCCGCAAGGACUGGUAAGGGUGAAAGGGUGCGGUAAGAGCGCACCGCGUCCCCGGUAACGGUGGACGGCACGGCAAACCCCGCCUGGAGCAAGGCCAAAUAGGGAAGCACCGCGGUCGCAAGGCCGCAACGCGUGGCCCGCGUGAGCUUCCGGGUAGGCUGCUUGAGGUGCACGGUGACGUGCAUCCCAGAGGAAUGGUUGCCCACGACAGAACCCGGCUUAUCGGCCGACUCCCACC
rnacentral:RNase_P_RNA from 1 species